GACGAACGCUGGCGGCGUGCUUAACACAUGCAAGUCGAACGAUGAUCUCCCAGCUUGCUGGGGGGGAUUAGUGGCGAACGGGUGAGUAACACGUGAGUAACCUGCCCUGGACUCUGGGAUAACCCCGAGAAAUCGGAGCUAAUACCGGAUAGGACCCUGUACCGCAUGGUGUGGGGUGGAAAGUUUUUUCGGUUUGGGAUGGACUCGCGGCCUAUCAGCUUGAUGGUGAGGUAAUGGCUCACCAUGGCUUCGACGGGUAGCCGGCCUGAGAGGGUGACCGGUCACACUGGGACUGAGACACGGCCCAGACUCCUACGGGAGGCAGCAGUGGGGAAUAUUGGACAAUGGGCGGAAGCCUGAUCCAGCAACGCCGCGUGAGGGAUGACGGCCUUAGGGUUGUAAAGCUCUUUCACCGGGGAAGAUAAUGACGGUACCCGGAGAAGAAGCCCCGGCUAACUUCGUGCCAGCAGCCGCAGUAACAC
rnacentral:rRNA from 1 species